rnacentral:rRNA from 1 species
CCCUUAGAUGUUCUGGGCCGCACGCGUGCUACACUGAGUGGAUCAGCGGGUCAGGUUGCGCGAAAGUGUUUCCUAAUCUUGAAAUCCGCUCGUGAUGGGGAUUGACGGUUGCAAUUUUCCGUCAUGAACGAGGAAUACCUUGUAAGCGCGGGUCAUCAUCCCGCGCUGAAUACGUCCCUGCCCUUUGUACACACCGCCCGUCGCUCCUACCGAUUGAGUGGUCCGGUGAGGCUUUGGGAUCUGAGCAAAGAGAGCGUUUCGCUAGUUUUGCCCGGAAAACUCAGUCGAACCUUAUCAUUUAGAGGAAGGAGAAGUCGUAACA